AUUUUAGUAUAAGUAUUUCUCAUGCAAUAUUUGGGACAUGUUUAUGCUAAAA
rnacentral:pre_miRNA from 1 species